CAGAGUAGGGAAAUGCGCGUAUAGUGUUCCGCCGACGGGGAGUUGCGGCGGAAACGAAAAGCAUGGUCAUCAUGCUUGCGGUGCAUUUUUCGCAUCCCGCUG
rnacentral:ncRNA from 1 species